CGCCGCACAGGGGAUGGAGUCCCCCUUGAACCGCCAAGUUGCUGAUGACUCCUACUGUCGA
rnacentral:ncRNA from 2 species